rnacentral:rRNA from 1 species
CAGCACCUCAAGUGGUCAGGAUGAUUAUUGGGCCUAAAGCAUCCGUAGCCGGCGCUGUAAGUUUUCGGUUAAAUCUGUACGCUCAACGUACAGGCUGCCGGGAAUACUGCAGCGCUAGGGAGUGGGAGAGGUAGACGGUACUCGGUAGGAAGGGGUAAAAUCCUUUGAUCUAUUGAUGACCACCUGUGGCGAAGGCGGUCUACCAGAACACGUCCGACGGUGAGGGAUGAAAGCCAGGGGAGCGAUCCGGAUUAGAUACCCGAGUAGUCC